rnacentral:lncRNA from 1 species
CGUUUGAAGCCGCGGCCCCUCGACCUGUGCUCGCCGCGAUUUCACGUCGGUGGGGGUCACCGGAGGUUGUGGUAAGGUCUCCCUCCUCUCCCUCUCUUCUCUCCCUUCUUUCCCGUGCCUGUGAGUACGAUGGCCGGCGACGGGUGUCGCCGGAUUUAGUUGGAAAAGAAAACCCCCUGUUCACGCCGCCUCUUUCCUCUGAUUUUCCG